rnacentral:rRNA from 1 species
UACGAAGGGGGCUAGCGUUGUUCGGAAUCACUGGGCGUAAAGGGCGCGUAGGCGGCUUGAUAAGUCGGGGGUGAAAGCCUGUGGCUCAACCACAGAAUUGCCUUCGAUACUGUCGGGCUUGAGACCGGAAGAGGUUAGUGGAACUGCGAGUGUAGAGGUGAAAUUCGUAGAUAUUCGCAAGAACACCAGUGGCGAAGGCGGCUCACUGGCCCGGUACUGACGCUGAGGUGCGAAAGCGUGGGGAGCAAACAGG